rnacentral:rRNA from 1 species
GAUGAACGCUGGCGGCGUGCCUAAUACAUGCAAGUCGAGCGAACGGACGAGAAGCUUGCUUCUCUGAUGUUAGCGGCGGACGGGUGAGUAACACGUGGAUAACCUACCUAUAAGACUGGGAUAACUUCGGGAAACCGGAGCUAAUACCGGAUAAUAUUUUGAACCGCAUGGUUCAAAAGUGAAAGACGGUCUUGCUGUCACUUAUAGAUGGAUCCGCGCUGCAUUAGCUAGUUGGUAAGGUAACGGCUUACCAAGGCAACGAUGCAUAGCCGACCUGAGAGGGUGAUCGGCCACACUGGAACUGAGACACGGUCCCGACUCCUACGGGAGGCAGCAGUAGGGAAUCUUCCGCAAUGGGCGAAAGCCUGACGGAGCAACGCCGCGUGAGUCAUGAAGGUCUUCGGAUCGUAAAACUCUGUUAUUAGGGAAGAACAUAUGUGUAAGUAACUGUGCACAUCUUGACGGUACCUAAUCAGAAAGCCACGGCUAACUACGUG